rnacentral:rRNA from 1 species
GGACGACCUCUUUCGAAGAGUUUCACCAACCAUGCGCAUGCCCGCCAUCGUCCGCGUGGCCGUGGCCUGCUGCCUGAACAUGUGCGGCGCCUGCCACUGCUCCGACCUGGCUGUCGUGGGCUUCCACCGCAAGCCGCCCCUGGAUUGACCACGAGUACCUGGACAACCUGUGCGAAAUCCCGCUGGCCAUCGCGUCCUGCCCCACCGGCGCUCUGAAGCCCGGCAAGACCGAUCUGACCGACGGCAAGAAAGUGAACACCAUCCUGGUGAACGACGACCGUUGAAUAGUACUGAGGUAACUGCUACACA